GGAGACGUUCAUGCAAGUAGGGGCUAUUUAAUGUUCAUGUUUUGAAGGUUCAUGGACCGAAUUUAUGGAGGAACAUACAUUGGGACGUUUCAUGCAUGAUCCAUACAUUUUCAAGCUAACCAUUCAAGUAUUCAAGACGAUCGGGCAACUCAGCAUACGACUCGACUCUCCUUGAGGCGGUUCGUAUCAAGGAGGCAAUGAAUUACUCGAAGAAAGCCGAUUGAUCCAUCUCAGAAGCUGGAUUCUCCUUCAAGACUGAAGAUCUCCCUUCAAUUUCCUUCAGGGGUUUUUAUAGUUUAUGACUAGAAGAAACCCGUCAGGACUAUUCCUUUUUGAUAGUGAGAUCAAAAGCAUAGCUCGCAGAAACCGAAAAGAAAUAAGGCGAAGCCUACAAUACAUAGAGAAAGGGCAAGAAGACGAUAGUCAAACUACAACUAAGGGGAUGACUGAAAAUUAGAAUAAUCAGCUACCUCCUGUGGUUGCCGCAGAUUCAAUAAAUCAGAAUCCUACACCUCGUACUAUGUAUGAUCAUGCUAAACCUACUUUAACAGAAGCUGAAUCGAGUAUAGUUAGACUUAUUAUUGCUGCAAAUAUUUUUGAACUGAAACCUAACACAAUUCAAAUGAUACAACAGUUUGUUCAGUUUGAUGGUUUGCAGGACAAUGAUCCAAACACUCACUUGGUAAAUUUUCUGGAAUUCCACGACACUUUUAAAAUCAAUGGCGUUUCUGAUGAUGUCAUUCGCCUUCGGUUAUUUCCCUUUUGAUUAAGAAAUAAGGAUAAACAGUGGUUGAAAUCAUUACCACGAGAUGGAUCUAGAAACCCUUUAUGAUGCAUGAGAGAGAUACAAUGACCUAUUGAGAAGGUGCCCUCACCAUGGGUUACCUCUAUGGCUGCAGGUUCAGACUUUUUACAACGGUGUGAACCCCUCAACAAGACAACUCAUCGACGCAGCCGCCGGUGGAACUUUAAACAACAAAACACCUGAAGAGGCUUACGAAUUUAUUGAAGAGAUGUCAAUGAAUAAUUAUCAGUGGCAAGUCAUGAGAAUAAAGCCAACAAAAGCGGCUGGUGUUUUCAAACUUGACGCGGUACAUCUAGUGAUAAGGUGCGAUUCAAAUGGGGGAGGAGUACACACAGAAUAUCAAUACUUCAACCCUAGCACCGAGGAGGAACAAAUUCAAUAUAUGGGUAAAAAUAAUUCUAGAUCUCAAAAUAACCCAUACAGUAACACUUAUAAUGCAGGUUGGAAGAACCAUCCCAACUUCUCAUGGGAUGGCCAGGGAAAUCAAAGGCCACAAAAUCCCCCAGGUUUUCAACAACCACCUUACCAGUAGGAAAAGACGCCGAACCUUGAAGAGAUGCUAACGAAAUUUAUUUCAGUGUCAGAAAAUCAUUUCAGAAUACCGAGACAUCACUUAAGAAUCAACAAGUGUCGAUCCAAGGGCUCGAAACUCAGAUAGGCCAGCUUGCCAAACUGAUUUCUGAACGACCACAAGGCAGUUUGCUGAGUAACACUGAAUCUAACCCAAGGGAACAUCUUAAUGCGAUUACCGUUCGAAAUAAAGAAGGAUUAGUUGAACCUGAACCAGAACCGAGGCAAAGAAUUGUGGUGAGUAAAAGUAAAGGUGAGGUGAACCAUAAUAAGUGAAAACCGGUCAGUAAAGAGUACAAACCUCACGUGACAUAUCCCAGUGCGACAAUGAAAGACCACACAGACGAACAAUUUGGUAAAUUCUUUAAAUUAUUAAAGAAAUUACAUAUUAACUUACCGUUUAUUGAAGCUCUUUAGCAGAUUCCAAACGCAGUUAAUUUUUUAAAGUUUAGCAAAUAAACGGAAGUUGGAUGAGGCGUCGCAUGUAGAGUUGAACGCAGUUUGCUCAGCUGUUAUACAGAAUAAGCUACCCAACAAGUUGAAAGAUCCAGGGAGUUUUACGAUUCCUUAUUUAAUUGGUCGUUUGAACGUUAAUAAUGCAUUGGCUGAUUUAAGGGCGAGCAUUAAUGUUAUGCCUUAUAAAAUGUUUAAACAACAAGGUCUUUGGAAACCCAAACAAACUAGGAUGAGCAUUCUAUUGGCUGAUAAAACCAUUAGAUUUCCUAGGGGUAUCAUUGAAGAUAUUUUUGUUAAAAUCGAUAAAUUUAUAUACCCAGUAGACUUUGUUAUUCUAGAUAUGGAAGAAGAUAGUAACUUACCUUUGAUUUUAGGACGACCCUUUUUAGCAACUGCCAGAACUAUUAUUGAUGUUGGUACAGGUGAACUCACACUUCGUGUGGGUGAUGAAACAAUCACUCUUCAAGCUCGUAAUUUGAGUAACACAUCGAAUAUUGAGGAUGGUUGUAUAAAUUAUGCUACUAAUACUAAUCAUGUGGUGCAACCUUCUUUGUAGGAAACACGUUCAAAGAACAUAUAUGACCCAUGUUCAAGUAAUAACAAAGGAAUCAUCUACGAAGAACGAAGACUUCAGAUCGAUGAACUAGAUGAAUGGCAAACACCUGUCAAGGAGAAACCGAAAGCACACGAAAAAUCGAAGCGACACCAUGAUGAACAUAGGGAUGAAACAAAGCAAAUUAAAGUUGGGGACAAAGUAUUGUUAGAUGAAAAUGACCCCCGAAUUGCUACUUUAGAGCACAAUACGGACAGAGAGACUCCCUUCACGGUGAGCAUAGGAGAGUAAAAAGAGCGAGAAACGGGCCAAAAAUCAAAAAAAAUGGGUCAACGUGGGAAAUCAACACGGCCUGUACUUCCUCACAAUGGUAGACCACACGCCCGUGUCUAUUUAGAAGACUCUAACACGGCCUAAGCCACCCCACAUGGGCGUGUCCCUGUCGAGCCCAAGUUUAGUUCUAUUCGGAAAAGGCCACUCUCGAGGGUUUGGAAGCAUUCUAAAGUCUAUAUAAACACCUUAGAGGAGGAUUAAAAGGACACACGGAGUAGGAGGCAAGGAAUUACUCGAAGAAAGCUGAUUGAUCCAUCUCAGAAGUCAGAUUCUCCUUCAAGACUGAAGAUCUCCCUUCAAUUUCCUUCAGGGGUUUUUGGGUUUUCUUUAUGUUUUGUUAUCAUUAUUCUUCUGAGAUUUUUUUUUUACACUUAUGAACUAAAUCCCCUAAAUACCUAAGGAGGAUGAAACCUAAGACGGAUCUUAUUAUUAUUUUCUAAAUUAUAUGAUAAAUACUUGAUUUGUUC